GGAAGGGCUCUCCUGGUGCCUCUGCAGCAGCUUCAGCGCUUCCCUGGGGUGUGCGGUACGGGGUCAUUAGCUCUGGGAGAGGGCUCCAGAAAGGUGCCUGAGCUGUGCCUGGAUGCGAGGUGCGCAUCCUUGUUCGGCUGCCAUCAGCGAGGGCUCACGCUGGGACAGGCGCCCCAGGGCCGGGCCGGCCCCCAGGGAAGGUGCGCGGUGCCCUCCCGCUGCAGGGCUCUGGCCGCGGAUGGGCGGCAGGAACCGUGCUACGUGGCAGGGUAGCGGGCUGCAGUUUGUUUCUUAUCGCUUCAAAUGAUUUCGCUGUUUCAUUUCGCUAGAAAUUGAGUUAGAAAAUUGCCGUAAGUGCCUGGCGUUAACUAGGCUUGAAAGAGGACAUGGCGUUUGCUUUGGCAUUCUAGGAAGAGUCCUCUGUGUUGAAGUGAUUAUCUCUAAGUUUGUUGCCCAGAAGAAGUUUAUGUAACUGAGGAAGAUCUAGGUGCAGAGUCUUCCCUGGCUAAACCCUUAUGAAAAUUUGGAGGCAGGCUGGAGCUUGCAGCCAAAGGCGUAUUGAUUAUUUACUUAUCAAAGUAUGUAGCAGUUACAUUUUGCAUGGUUUUCCUCCCACGCAUAAACUUAAAUCGUCCCAGAAGGACAAGGUCCGCCAGUUUAUGGCAUUUACCCAGGCUGGUGAAAGGACUGCUAUAUACUGCUUAACACAGAAUGAAUGGAAACUAGAAGUGGCAACAGACAACUACUUCCAGAAUCCAGACUUGUACUACAAAGAAUCCAUGAAAAAUUCAGUAGACAAGAAGAAAUUAGAACAAUUGUAUAAUCGAUACAAAGACCCACAAGAUGAAAAUAAAAUUGGCAUUGAUGGGAUUCAGCAGUUCUGUGAUGAUUUAAGCCUGGACCCAGCCAGUAUCAGUGUUCUGGUUGUGGCAUGGAAAUUCAGGGCAGCUACUCAAUGUGAAUUUAGUAAAAAGGAAUUUGUUGAUGGCAUGACAGAGUUGGGGUGUGACACCACAGAAAAGCUAAAAGCUCUAUUGCCAAGACUGGAACAAGAGCUAAAGGAUCCAGUAAAGUUCAAAGAUUUUUAUCAGUUUACUUUUAACUUUGCUAAAAAUCCUGGACAAAAAGGUCUAGCAUAUAACUUAAUUGUCUGUUUCUGAAUUUCCUAGUUGAAUACUUUGGCAGCCAAAUUGCCUGGGAUCAAGCAUGAGAUGAAAGAUGAGGAGGGCAUUCAGACUUGAAUCAAAUAUUACCUCAAGACCAGAAGAAUGACUAUCUUUGCAUCCGGUAUGUGGACUUCAAGGAGGUUUCCUCUCCUAUCUAGAAAUGGCAAUUGCAUACUGGAAUUUAGUCUUGUCGGGAAGGUUUAAAUUUUUAGAUCUUUGGAAUAAAUUUUUGUUGGAACAUCAUAAAAGAUCAAUUCCAAAAGAUACUUGGAAUCUUUUGUUAGAUUUUGGGAAUAUGAUUGCAGAUGAUAUGUCCAACUAUGAUGAAGAAGGAGCGUGGCCUGUUCUAAUAGAUGAUUUUGUGGAAUAUGCACGACCAGUAGUCACAGGAGGAAAACAUAAAACGUCCUAACCCCAGAUUUGUCGGUACAGACUAAAUGAACUGCACUGGGUAAUGAAGAUUUAUUAGCUGAUUACUGCACUUUGGUGCUGGUUUCAGGGGUCGUGAUGAUGUUCUGCAGACAAAACUGAAAUUCUUCCUUUCUGCCUAAAGAAAAUGAUGACUGAUGUUUGGACACUUCAAGAACAAACUCAGAAGAUCCAAGCUGUUUGUAGGCUAUUGGCUUCAAUUAUUGUACUGGUUGUAUCAUAUAGGUUGUAGAUUUUGCAUGAUUUUAUACUUUGGAGAAGUUUAACUAGAGGCCAUUUUAUUAAAGUUUUGACAGCACAGCAUGCCAUUCAGUUCAUAAUCCAAAGUGAACACCAGCAGUUACAUAAAUAAAAAUGUAUUAUAUUGUACUUAUAUUAAAAGCAGUAUUUGUGGUAUAUAAAUUAAAUCCAUAAAUAAAACUUAUGCAGUAUGUUGUAUUUUUAUAAAAGCUAGUUCCAUGGAUCUGUCUUAAUACAGAAUUGUAAAAAAAUCCCAAGCAAAUGAAAGUAUGUUUUAUUUGUUUUAAACUUAUUGCCAAAAUUCUAAAUUUGUAUUUUCACAUCCUAGAUGUGUACAGUGAUUACAUCCAGCCUUUUGCUUUCUCCCAAUUAAUUUGACUUCCUCAUUUUUCUUCUUGAAGUGCUUGGACAUGUAACAAUAGCAUUGCUGAGGACAGGCUGCUGCUCUAUGCUGUGUUGCAACUCCAGCUUUUUUUAAUAGCCAUUUUAAAGUAGACAUUAAGCAACCAAAGAUGCUUUUAUAAUCCAUGUUUAAUUAUCAUAAUUCAGUUAGUCUCCUAUUAUGUGUUUUAUUUCUUUUUAAUAAGGAAUCGGUGGAAUAUGGAUUUUUUUUGUAGCUUGAAACAUAUCAUAAAUUCUAGCUAAAUGCAACAUAGUUGUAAAUUCAUUUCCUGGCACUUCUCUUGGAAAAUAGAUGUGAAUAAGCCCAGAGACUUCAAAGAAGUUGGCUUCCAUGGUAGGGAAAUAGUUAGGGGUAAGGAGACUUUAUAUUAAUGAUUGUAAGUAUUCAUGCCUGUGGAUGUGCAUUCAAUUGUAUUUAUGUAAGGGGAGGGAAAAAAGCAAAUUAAUGCAGUUUCAGUGAUCUCAAGGCUGGUGGAACUGGAUCAGUUUUCACCAGAUCUGAACUUGUUGAGUCAUUUGUUUCUCCCCUUUUGCCAGCCACUGACUAUGAAGUGCACAGAGGUGUCAGUCUUCUGUUUCUCAUCAGUGUCUUCCGAUGUCUAAGCACAAGAAAGUUUUACCAGAGACUAUUCAGUGCUUCUUCGCACAGGGCUCUUUCAAAUGCUACCUCAUCAAAAUGAGUUUGUCAUAGCCACUGUAAAAGUUUGUUAAAAUGAAGAGUUGCUAAAGAGUAUGUACAGCUAUAAUCAUAAUAUAUUUUCUGUAUUUAAGGCUGAAUAGAUGCAAGAAUUUUGGACAAAAUAGUGCAUUAAGUUAUAUAAAUUAUAUGUUUGGGUCGUUGAAGUGUUGCAUGACAUCAGACUAUUUUAUUUUGUAGUUGCCAGAGUAUAAAAGCUUAAUAUUCUCUUAAACUCUAAUAUUUAGAGUUUCAUACAAGCAGUCAGCUUUCAUUAUGUCGACACAACCUGCAAGGACAAGUGUAUGUGCUGCAUAUAGAGACGGCCUUCAUUCUUCCACUCGAUAAAAUUUCAGUUGUGAAUGACUUUUAAAAAGCAGGAUGAGAGAAAAUUUGAACAAAUUAGUGAUUUUUCUCUUAGUAAGAGCCUAGCAAGCAAGUUAUAAUGACCAAUGAGUGAUUUGUUAUGAAUAUUUGUCUUUUUUUUGUGAGUGUCAGCCCUGGCCAACCAGCCACCAGGUGUCAGCGUCUGAGACUGCUGCUGCCUGGCGUUCCUGUGCAGAAUUACCCUCUGGGGUUAUGCCAAAUUACCAAAUGCAUCUUUUUAGAAGGGCAUUUGUGUACAUAACUCCAAGUAUUCUACAGAAGUCAGCAGAGAGCUAGAAGCAGUUAUGCUCUUUUAGCUGCAUUUGGUUUAUCUUCGCCUCCUCCCCAAAACAAACUGUUUCUAUAUCUGUCCUGCAGGCUUUGCAGAAUGUGUACCAUCUUACAGCAUCAAGUGCAUUUAUCUAGCCAGAAGCAGUGGAAUGUUUAUUACUCACACAAUUGCCACUUAAAAUAUAUAGAUAAAAUAUAACUGACCAGAAGUAGCUUAAUCUAUUGGUAUGUGGUGUUACUGAAGAUUCAUAGCAGUAGAGCUUGUGAAACAUUUGCUUAUGGUGAGAGCGCCAACAAAUCAUUCUGAUGAACCUUCUACCUUUUAAAAUAAAUAGAGCAUAAAAAAUGCAUGUGGGUUGAGGGUUUUUUUCCUUGUUAAUCUGAGCAAGAAGGAAGGUGCUUAGCCCAGGAUUCAGUUCAUAUAUGUAUAUAUGUACACACACUUUUAAACCUCAUUCCCCAGGGGGAUCCUUCAUGGGUGACAGCUUCCAGCAGAGGAAGACUGGGAAAAAUACUCCAAAGAUAGUAACUGAUGCCUGUCAACCAGCUUCUGAGGUUUGCUAUGCUUUUCCUUUUUCUUUUGUUCUUCCUGGUCUUCUACCCAUUUUAAACCACAUGUGAUUUUUACAUUCCCAUAUAUAAUAGCAUGAAGUAACACCUUCACACUUAAGCAUAUAUAAAAUAAUAAUAAAAUAAUUAAAAAAGCAAACUGCUUUCACCUUACAAGUUUCUUACAUAUUUUAAUCAUUUGCUGCUGUCCACAGUUCCACUUUACAGGGUACUCUGACUCCCAUUUUGAGUAAGCUGAUACAGUGGUAACACCUAGGCUGGUCAGUUUAUAAUCCUAAAUGGUACAGAUGUCUUCAAGUUGUUCAGUGCAUACAGUAUUACUUCACAGAUAUGCUGUAUGUAUUUUUAAACUUGGUGCCAAGUUGUUUGGUUUGAAACUGAGCCAUAGGAUUUGUACUUGCCAAUUCUAAAUUUAAAUGUAAUUUAUCAUGUGUGUCAUGCCAAGGAGAGCAAACCUGCAGGCAUCUGCUCAUUCAAUGCACCUGGGAGAUUUGCUGCUGAGUAAGCCGUACAUGUGUGUAUAUUUUUUGGCAGUGGAAAAAGGAAUAAAUGGACUGUCAAAGGAUUGAAGUCAGUCACUUGA